GACGAACGCUGGCGGCGUGCUUAACACAUGCAAGUCGAGGGGGUGCGGGGAGCAAUCCUGGCAUCACCGGCGAACGGGUGCGUAACACGUGAGCGACCUGCCGUACCUCUGCGGGGGAUAGCCGGCCCAACGGCCGGGUAAUACCGCAUACGUUCCCUUCGGGGCAUCUCGAGGAGAGGAAAGGCGUGGGGCAGCAAUGCGCCCAUGUCGCAGGACGAGGGGCUCGCGGCCUAUCAGCUGGUUGGCGGGGUAACGGCCCACCAAGGCGACGACGGGU
rnacentral:rRNA from 1 species